GUUUUGCAGCUGGUUCCAGCUCUUGGAAACUCUCCCCCUUCCAAAUGUAAGAAUGACUACAUCUACUCUAUUGGAAGUUGAAUGUUCUCAUGUUAGCCAUACUUAUAAUAUUGUGAUGGAGAUUAAAUGGAUUUGUCCAACCGCUCCUAUUAAACCAAUUUCAGGUUUUGGUGGUUUUCCUUCCAUUAAUUGCUUGUAAGAUUCCUAUUUCCUUAUACUCACAUUAAUAUAUUUAGCCUUAUGUAUUCAUCUUGGAAUGACAUCUUGUGUGGUAUUUGUCUUUCACCUAUACCGAUUGUAUUUGUCUCAUCAUGAGUCGUAUUUGUCUUUUACCUAUAUCGGUAUACCAGUUUAGUUGUUUUUCCAAGUUCACAGUACUCUGCCAAUAUGCACAACGUUAUAUCUUGUAUUCUUUGCUAUGGUUCCUUAUAAGUUUGGUGAGAAAUAUUCACGAGCUGUGACUGCAACUGGCUUUCAGGACGUGACGUUCAAAUCCUAUAAUGGUGAUCCAUGAUCCAUGAAGAUGUAGUGAUCCUAUGAAAGGAGAAGAAAGGAGAAGAUCAAGGCUAAAAUUAUGAACAGCCAACUAUUAGAUAGUUUUUAUAUGGAUCGGCUCGAUGUUAUUUGUAUCAUGUAUUCAUGUGGUUUGAGGAUUGUUGAGUAGUCCACACCUUAUAGUAUUGUAGAUUUGAAGAAGGUGAAAUUUUAAUUUUAAUUUAAUUUUAUUUA